UACAGAGGUCUCAAGCGUUGUUCGGAUUCAUUGGGCGUAAAGGGUGCGUAGGCGGCGCGGUAAGUCGGGUGUGAAAUCUCGGAGCUUAACUCCGAAACUGCAUUCGAUACUGCCGUGCUUGAGGACUGGAGAGGAGACUGGAAUUUACGGUGUAGCGGUGAAAUGCGUAGAUAUCGGGAGGAACACCGAUGGCGAAGGCAAUCCCCUGGGCCUGCACUGACGCUCAUGCACGAAAGCGUGGGGAGCAAACAGG
rnacentral:rRNA from 1 species